GAUGAACGCUGGCGGCGUGCCUAAUACACGCAAGUCGAGCGAACAGACGAGGAGCUUGCUCCUCUGACGUUAGCGGCGGACGGGUGAGUAACACGUGGAUAACCUACCUAUAAGACUGGGAUAACUUCGGGAAACCGGAGCUAAUACCGGAUAAUAUAUUGAACCGCAUGGUUCAAUAGUGAAAGACGGUUUUGCUGUCACUUAUAGAUGGAUCCGCGCCGCAUUAGCUAGUUGGUAAGGUAACGGCUUACCAAGGCAACGAUGCGUAGCCGACCUGAGAGGGUGAUCGGCCACACUGGAACUGAGACACGGUCCAGACUCCUACGGGAGGCAGCAGUAGGGAAUCUUCCGCAAUGGGCGGAAGCCUGACGGAGCAACGCCGCGUGAGUGAUGAAGGUCUUCGGAUCGUAAAACUCUGUUAUUAGGGAAGAACAAAUGUGUAAGUAACUAUGCACGUCUUGACGGUACCUAAUCAGAAAGCCACGGCUAACUACGUG
rnacentral:rRNA from 1 species